rnacentral:misc_RNA from 1 species
UAAAUGAAGCCGGGUAACCGGUCCUUCUAACCCUUGAUUAUCUUUAUUUUGUUGCUUUGGCGGGCCGCGAGAGCACCGGCCUCGGCUGGAUUGUGCCCGCCAGAGGACCACAACUCUGUAAUAAUUGUCGUCUGAGUACUAUAUAAUAGUUA